GAUGAACGCUGGCGGCGUGCCUAAUACAUGCAAGUCGAGCGAACGGACGAGAAGCUUGCUUCUCUGAUGUUAGCGGCGGACGGGUGAGUAACACGUGGAUAACCUACCUAUAAGACUGGGAUAACUUCGGGAAACCGGAGCUAAUACCGGCUAAUAUUUUGAACCGCAUGGUUCAAAAGUGAAAGACGGUCUUGCUGUCACAUAUAGAUGGAUCCGCGCUGCAUUAGCUAGUUGGUAAGGUAACGGCUUACCAAGGCAACGAUGCAUAGCCGACCUGAGAGGGUGAUCGGCCACACUGGAACUGAGACACGGUCCAGACUCCUACGGGAGGCAGCAGUAGGGAAUCUUCCGCAAUGGGCGAAAGCCUGACGGAGCAACGCCGCGUGAGUGAUGAAGGUCUUCGGAUCGUAAAACUCUGUUAUUAGGGAAGAACAUAUGUGUAAGUAACUGUGCACAUCUUGACGGUACCUAAUCAGAAAGCCACGGCUAACUACGUG
rnacentral:rRNA from 1 species